rnacentral:rRNA from 1 species
CUCUUCGUGCAUUGUUGUUCCACUCAGCAGGUGUGGCUGAGGUUUAGAGGCUAGACAUGUGCUAACUUCGAAGUACCAGAUGAUCAUGUUGUCAGUACUAAAGAUUGGUGGUUGAGUGCUCGGAAGGAGGUUCCCAAGCCUGUGCGUCAUAAUUUUGACACCAUAAUCAUCCUUCUUCACUCGAGAAUCUGGAAAGAGUGGAAUGCUAGGAUUUUUGAGCAAGUGGCUAGCAGUGUUGAUGGGGUGCUUGAUCUAAUCAUAGAGGAUAUUAGAGUUUGGAAGGCAGCUGGUUGUGUUGGCGAUCAUCUUUGA